GGGGAUGUAGCUUAGCAGGCAUGAGUGCCUGCCUGGCAAGCAUGAGGUCAUGAGUUCUAUCCCAGACACCCCCU
rnacentral:tRNA from 1 species